rnacentral:tRNA from 2 species
GGAGCGGUAGUUCAGUUGGUUAGACUCUUUAUUAGAGAAAGCGGCCUGUCUCGCGUGCCGAAGGCACACGGGUUUCGAGUCCCGUCCGCUCCGCCA